UAGAGUACGUUCGUAUGUGCACGGUUGUCCCUGGCUGAGUCCUUCUAGGCAUGCAAGAACGUAUUUGCUAAACUAACCCUGAAGCUUGAUUUGUAAACAGUUUUUGGAUUGCUUUCUUAUCGCUUGGUUGUUAUCUGCGUUGGUCUAGCUGUCAUUGUUCCAGUUUUCUUGAUUCCUUUUACGAAGUCGACGGCAGUUCUGCAUCUUUCUAAGUUAUCCGCUGCUUCUUGCGCUAGUCAGAAGAGUUGAGCUAUCGUUAGCAAUUCAACUGUUUGUUGCGUUUUUGCAACAAAGAAGAGUGACCGUGUCUAGCUAGAAAUGGCUGCAGCUAGUAAUUCCGAAGACACGGUGGUUAGCGAUUCUAAGGAAGUGAGUGAAAGCAUACAUGCUUGUAGACCGCAGAUUAUAUACACAUUAGAAAUGGAAAUACGGUAGAAUAUUCAUAUACGAGU